GAAGAAUAAAUAUAAUUAUACAUUUUAUAAAAAUAUUUUAUUGGGGCGUAAAUUUUUCUUCACAAGAAAGCUAAAGUCUUUUUCCCUUCUGAAAAACAGAAUUGAAACAGAGAUAACAACUUCUAUUAUAAAUCUCUCACAAAAAUGUUUAAUUACUAGAUAUUGUUUGAAAAACAAAACUUUGGAAAAACUAAAAGAGCAGCUGAAGUCUGGCAGGCUGAGUUUUUUCAAAGUUUUGGGGAAAAGAUGGGGCAAGCGCACAUGUACAUCCCACUAAAAAAUUCCAGAACCUCUCCAGGACCCUGCUACUAAUGCUGGAGCUUAAAAUAAGGGUGAUGUUUUUCACAGGUUAUCUAUUCCUACCGAGAAACAGCGUUAGUUAGGAUGAGCGAGAGUAAAGUAAAGCAGAGAGAAGACAUUGGUCCUCCAGCACCAAAGCAAGAGAAAAUAAAAAAUCUUUGAAAAAAAAAGCAUUGCGAAAACUCAGUUUCCGAUAUUUUACCUAAGGCUUCAUCAGUUUCAAUCUCGUGUUCUUUGGACUUGAUUUGGAACACCCAAGAAAUCAUAUUCCAGAACUGUGUCGGUAGUUCUAUCAUCUCGGAUGGGUGACUGGUACUGGUGGCGGUAUCUCCAUAAAAUACAUGAGUUAAUAUUCUACAAUAAGAUCUGCAUAGCUCCUUCUGAUGUACAAAAGGAGAGUAUAACGCCCAACGAUAUGUUCGUACAAGAUAUCAAUGAAACAGAUUUCGAAUUGUCUCCAAAAAAAAACUGACGAAGUUGCAAUGUACUUCGCUAUUUAUGUGCGCCUAUUUAAGAAGAAACGCGGGUGCUGUAUAAUUUACACCCAUUCGAAAUUUAUUGCUGUGAUGACAACACUGUGGCCUGGGAAAGAAGUCAGGAUCACUCAUUUCUAGAAUCAAACAGAGAGUAGAAAGUGUAUUGUUACGACGAGGAGCUGGUAAUAUCAAACACAGAAAGCACUCCUUUUGAGAAGAAUUUGAAGGACGAUUUAGAUAAUUAAAAUUAUCGUUGAUUACCCUACUGAGACUUGCGCAGUAUUGGUAUGCAGACAUGGGAUUUAUGUGUGAGGACGAAAUGUUACGAUUAUUUGCUCGGCAUCGCAGUUCAAAUGAAACAAUGUGGAUUAUAUCCGUUGACAACUCCAAAUGAUUACGGAUUUUUAGGUACCCAGGCACAUAGUAAAUUAGGAUAAUUUGUAAUAUUAAUAUACAUUUUAUUUUUCUGCCAUAAUUCUGUGCCAUGACACCAUAAUUCUAUGUAUAUUUGAACUAUGUACAUUUUUUAGACAUUAAACGUAUAUAAAAAUUA